AACGAACGCUGGCGGCAUGCCUAACACAUGCAAGUCGAACGAGACCUUCGGGUCUAGUGGCGCACGGGUGCGUAACGCGUGGGAACCUGCCCUUAGGUUCGGAAUAACUCCCCGAAAGGGGUGCUAAUACCGGAUAAUCUCUUCGGACCAAAGAUUUAUCGCCUUUGGAUGGGCCCGCGUGGGAUUAGCUAGUUGGUAGGGUAAAAGCCUACCAAGGCGACGAUCCAUAGCUGGUCUGAGAGGAUGAUCAGCCACACUGGGACUGAGACACGGCCCAGACUCCGACGGGAGGCAGCAGUGGGGAAUAUUGGACAAUGGGCGAAAGCCUGAUCCAGCAAUGCCGCGUGAGUGAUGAAGGCCUUAGGGUUGUAAAGCUCUUUUACCCGGGAUGAUAAUGACAGUACCGGGAGAAUAAGCUCCGGCUAACUCCGUG
rnacentral:rRNA from 1 species